rnacentral:rRNA from 1 species
AUUGAACGCUGGCGGCAGGCCUAACACAUGCAAGUCGAGCGGAGCGGCGGACGGGGGAGGAAUGCCUAGGAAUCUGCCUGGUAGCGGGGGAUAACGUCCGGAAACGGGCGCUAAGACCGCAUACUAUCAGAUGAGCCUAGGUCGGAUUAGCUAGAUGGAGGGGUAAGGGCCUACAAAGGCGACGAUCCGUAACUGGUCUGAGAGGAGGAUCAGUCACCCUGGAACUGAGACACGGUCCAGACUCCUCCCCUAUCCAUCAAUUUAAAAUAUUAAACAAUGACGGAAACCCUGAUCCAGCCAUGCCGCGUGUAUGAAGAAAUUCUUCGGGUUUUAAUGCACUUUAAGUUGGGAGGCGUUACCAGCAGAAUAAGCACCGGCUAACUUCGUGCCAGCAGCCGCGGUAAUAC